rnacentral:rRNA from 1 species
AUUGAACGCUGGCGGCAUGCCUUACACAUGCAAGUCGAACGGUAACGCGGGGCAACCUGGCGACGAGUGGCGAACGGGUGAGUAAUGCAUCGGAACGUGCCCAGUAGUGGGGGAUAGCUCGGCGAAAGCCGGAUUAAUACCGCAUACGACCUUCGGGUGAAAGGGGGGGAUCGCAAGACCUCUCGCUAUUGGAGCGGCCGAUGUCAGAUUAGGUAGUUGGUGGGGUAAAGCCUACCAGGCCGACGAUCUGUAGCUGGUCUGAGAGGACGACCAGCCACACUGGGACUGAGACACGGCCCAGACUCCUACGGGAGGCAGCAGUGGGGAAUUUUGGACAAUGGGCGCAAGCCUGAUCCAGCCAUGCCGCGUGCGGGAAGAAGGCCUUCGGGUUGUAAACCGCUUUUGUCAGGGAAGAAACGCUUCGAGCUAAUACCUCGGAGUAAUGACGGUACCUGAAGAAUAAGCACCGGCUAACUACGUGCCAGCCGCCGCCGUAA